CCAGGGUAUAAAAAGGGCCCACAAGAGACUAGCUCCAGGAUCCCAAGGCCCAACUUCCGGAACCACUCAGGGUCCUGUGGACAGCUCACCUAGCUGCAAUGGCUGCAGGUAAGCGCCCCUAAAAUCCCUUUGGGCACAAUGUGUCCCAAAGGGAGAGGCAGCACCCUGUAGAUGGGAUGGGGGCACUAACCCUCAGGUUUGGGGCUUCUGAAUGUGAAUAUCGCCAUCUAAGGCCAGAUAUUUGGCCAAUCUCUGAAUGUUCCUGGUCCCUGGAGGGAUGGAGAGGGAGAAAAAAACAACAGCUCCUGGAGCAGGGAGAGUGUUGGCCUCUUGCUCUCUAGCUCCCUUCUUGCCCUCCGGUUUCUCCCCAGGCUCCCAGACGUCCCUGCUCCUGGCUUUUGCCCUGCUCUGCCUGCCCUGGCUUCAAGAGGCUGGUGCCGUCCAAACCGUUCCCUUUUCCAGGCCUCUUGACCAUGCUAUGCUCCAAGCCCAUUGCGCGCACCAGCUGGCCAUUGACACCUACCAGGAGUUUAUAAGCUCUUGGGGAAUGGGUGCGGGUCAUGGGUGGCAAGAAGGGGUGACUUUCCCCCACUGGGGAAGUAAUGGGAGGAGACUAAGGAGCUCAGGGUUGUUUUCUGAAGCAAAAAUGCAGGCAGAUGAGCUUAGGCUGAGCCAGGUUCCCAGAAAAGUAACAAUGGGAGCUGGUCUCCAGCAUAGAAAGCAGCAGUCCUUCUUGGUGGGGGGUCCUUCUCCUAGGAAGAAGCCUAUAUCCCAAAGGACCAGAAGUAUUCAUUCCUGCAUGACUCCCAGACCUCCUCCUGCUUCUCAGACUCUAUUCCGACACCCUCCAACAUGGAGGAAACGCAGCAGAAAUCGAACUCAGAGCUGCUCCACAUCUCCCUGCUGCUCAUCGAGUCGUGGCUGGAGCCCGUGUGGUUCCUCAGGAAUAUCUUCACCAACAACCUGGUGUUUGACACCUCGGACAGCGAUGACUAUCACCUCCUAAAGGACUUAGAGAAAGGCAUCCAAACGCUGAUUGGGGUGAGGGUGGCACCAGGGGUCCCCAAUCCUGGAGCCCCACUGGCUUCGAGGGCUGGGGGAGAGAAACACUGCUGCCCUCUUUCUAGCAGUCAGGUGCUGACCCAAGAAAACUCACCUUAUUCUUCAUUUCCCCUGGUGAAUCCUCCAGGCCUUUCUCUACACCCUGAAGGGGAGGGAGGAAAAUGGAUGAAUGAGAGAGGGAGGGAACAGUGCCCAAGCGCUUGGCCUCUCCUUCUCUUCCUUCACUUUGCAGAGGCUGGAAGACGGCAGUCCCCGGACUGGGCAGAUCUUCAAACAGACCUACAGCAAGUUUGACACAAACUCACACAACCAUGACGCUCUGCUCAAGAACUACGGGCUGCUCCACUGCUUCAGGUAGGACAUGGACAAGGUCGAGACAUUCCUGCGCAUGGUGCAGUGCUGCUCUGUGGAGGGCAGCUGUGGCUUCUAGGUGCCCGCGUGGCAUCCUGUGACCCCUCCCCAGUGCCUCUCCUGGCCCCGGAAGGUGCCACUCCAGUGCUCACCAGCCUUGUCCUAAUAAAAA
rnacentral:sRNA from 1 species